UCAAGAAUGAAGUACAACAUUUGUGCAUGGAAAUAGAGCACUUUAAGUGCAUUAUGUAUGUGCCCUUGUUUUUCCUCCUGGGUAUGAGAAUAAUUUUAAUUAAAUGAUAAAGUAGAGCUAUCAGUUGGCAAAAUACUUAGAACAUAUUUUUGAAGAAUUUCAAAUUUUACCUGUUGGAAAGCAGAAGAUAAUACUUGCCUUCUUGAUCAGUUUUUCUGUGUUUCCUGCAGAUGCAGAAAAUCCUGACUGUCGCUACAAUCAACAGAGAUCCAGCAGGAGCAGAAAUCAACACUAUCAGAGAUACAAAGUCUGGAGCAUGUGAAGGAGAGUGAAAGAGAGACAUUAAUGAGAGAGUCACAUGACCCACAUUCACCACCGAACACACCAGUGAACAAUUCUGCUGUGAUGAAGAUGAUGAUGAUGAUGAAGAUGAUGAACAGUUUGAAGAGGUACUGCUGAUGUCAGGAACUGGCAGACGAGCUGAAAACAUGAGAGAAUAAUAGGAAUAUUUUCAGCAUUGUGAAUCUGUGUAAUACAUUUUGUAUUGAGUGAGUGUUUAGUGUGUUAACGGUUGCUGAAUGUGACUCUCAUCUCCAAUUAUAAAAUAAAUAAAUAUUUGACUAUUUAAAUAGAAUAUGUGAGCAUUUGAACAAAUGAUCUCUACUCACCAUAGACAGAAACGUUGAAUGUUUUAGAUGUCUGAUUCACUCCAUGUAUAUCUAGUUGAUAGACUCCAGUGUGUUGAGUUGUGAUGUUGGUGAUGGUCAGAGAUCCAGUUUGAUUGUCCAGCUUCAGUCUGACUCUGAAUCUCUCGUCAGGACCAUUAGAUGUGAUGACAAUGUGUUUCCUUUUCUUUAUUUUAGCUAUGGGAGACUUUCCAUCUCCAAAUUUCCACAGAAUGUCAUCGCCUUCAUGUAUUUCAGUAAGAUCAGUGUAUAAAGUGACAGAAUCUCCCUCCAUCACUGACACUGAUUCACCAAACACAACUGAAUAAAAAUAAAAAUAUUUUACACAGAUUAAAGCUUCUUAUGGUUUAACAAGCCUGAAAUCUGCUUCAUCCAAAUGUGAAGUUGAGAACAACCGAAACAAAAAACAAAAUGUAAAAUAUCAACGGUCUUUCAAACAGCUAUUGUAAACUACCAACUGUUACCAAAAUAGAGAGAUGGUUGCAAUGGCGCUAUUUAAUAGAUUAAUCAUAUAUGUAUAUACAUAAUGCACAAAUCUGUACAUAAUGUUUCAAAACCAGAUCUUUUCAGAGAUUUAUUUUCUCUUAGUCUUAUCUAUUUGUUUUCAUGUUAUAAAUUUACAUGUAUGUAUAUAUGUUGCUAGAGCUCCUGAAAAACCACAAUACAUAAUGUAACAUCGUAUCUCUUCAAAGUGUAGAGGACAAUCUAUGUUUAAAUUGUAAAUGAUUUUUGACAUUAUUGUAUGAUAAUUAUUACAGAUCGGAUAUUUUGGAUAAUUUUUUUAAUAAAUGGGAGAUUUAGAUCAUUAGAUCACAUAUUUAUGACAUUUGAAGAUGUUCAUGAUAACUGCAGAUUUAUUUUUUAAAUCUGUAUUAUUAUUAUUAUUAUAAAAAGAAAAAAAAAGUGAAAUAUUUAAAGAAGUUCAGACUUUCUGAACAUUUACACUGCAGGGAUUUCCUUUAUUUUGUUUUUAUGAACUUUUCCAGGUCCUGUAAAUGUCAAUGAAAACUUCCUAACCCUAAUCCCAACAGUGUCUUGUAUUAUAUUCAUACACAAUUCACAAUUAUUUUGGUACAUAACAUUUUAUUAUCUUUAAUAUUCCAAAAUAUAAGAAAAAAAAACCUUGACAAUGAUUUUUUUUUAACUUACCAGUCAAACUCCAGCAGCACAAACAGAACAAGACAAACUUGUGAAACAUUUUCUUCAGUGGUUCAGUGUGUGAUCUAACAGCAGAACUGUUAAAGUGUUGUGUGAAUCCUCCCCUGACUGUGUUCGACCCUCCUAGUUCACAUCCUGCAUUUGAUAAGUGUUGGGCUCAUUACUCAAAAAAAAUAAAAUAUAUAUUACUCAUUACUAGUUACUAAUUUCAAAAGUAAUAUUAUUACUUAUUACUCCCAGCCAACAGUCUGGGGCACCGCUAUGGUUUCUGGACCCCCUGAACAGCAUAUUCACUCAGCCCUCUCCAUCGUCAGGCAGAGGCCUGGAAUCAUCCUAACCUUACACCCCCCAACCCCCCUCCACCCCCUUUACAGCGCCCCGUUAACAGUAAUUAGUUACACAUCCAGUUACAUUACCUUUCCAUUCCAUUCCAAAAAAAAUGGAAAUUGCAUAAUUUUUGCAGUCAGUGGAUCCAUGAAAUUUGCAGAUAAAUGAAGAGUACAUCUGGCUCAAACUGAUGGCAAGCCACAUAUUUUUAAGCUUCUGUUCCUCUGGGAAUCGCAACCUUAUCUUGUGGAGGGGUUUGAGUACCCGAAUGAUCCUAAGAGCUAUGUUGUCAGGGGUUAUAUGCCCACGGUAGGGUCUCCCAAGGCAAACAGGUCCUAGAUGACGGGUCAGACUAAGAGCAGUUCAGAAGCCCAUUAUGAAUUCUUAAAAAACGAGGACUGUGACGUCACGGCUGGGAGCUUGAAUACGAAUGCCUGGUGGCCGGGCCUCCCCUCAUGGGGCCCAGCCUGGCUUAGCCCGAAAGAGCAAUGUGGGGCCGACCUCCCAUGGACCCACCAUCUGCGAGAUGAAUCAUAAGGGGCUGGUGCAUUGUGGUUUGGGAAGCAGUCGAACGCAGGGGCCCCAACGACCUGAUCUCUGGAUAUGGACACUGGCCUUUGGGAUGUGGAAUGUCACCUCGCUGCCGGAGAAGGAGCCUGAGCUUGUGUGGGAGGUUGAGAGGUACCUACUGAAGAUAGUCGGCCUCACCUCCAUGCACAGCUUUGGUUCUUGAACCAAGUCCCUUGAGAUAGGCUGAACUCUCUACCACUCUGGAGAUGUCUGUGGUGAGAGGCGGCGGGUUGGUGUGGGGUUGCUCAUAGCUCCCCAGCUCGGUCGCCAUGUGUUUGAGUUUACCCCGGUGAACGAAAGGGUUGCUUCCUUGCACCUUUGGGUCGGGGAUAGGUCUCUCACUCUCAUUUGUGCUUAUGGGCCGAAUAGUAGUGUAGAGUACCCAGCCUUCUUGGAGUCUCUGGGAGGGGUGCUGCAAAGUGUACUGACCGGGGACUCUGUCAUUCUACUGGGAGACUUCAACCCUGACAUGGGCAGUGACAGGAACACCUGAAGGGGCAUGAUUGGGAGGAGUGGCCAUAAAAAAUAUAUGCUGCCCUGCCAGCACUAUUUGCAGUGGAGGUGGGGAGCUGUUGACCUCAAAGGGAUGUUGUGGGGGAGGUGGGGAGCUGUUGACCUCAAAGGGAUGUUGUGGGGCUGUCUUGGCUGACACGCCUCUGUAGCAUCGCGUGACAGUUGGGGACAGUGACUCUGGAAUGGCAGACCGGGGUGUCGGUCUCUAUUUUCAAGAAGGGGGACCGGAGGGUGUGUUACACCUACAGGGCGGUCACACUCCUCAGCCUUCCUGGAAAAGUCAAUGCCAGGGUGCUGGAGAGGAGAAUUUGGCCGAUAAUUGAACUUUGCAUUCAGGAGGAACAAUGCGUUUUUUGUCCUGGGCCAGCUUUAUACCCUCGUCGGGGUGCUUGAGGGUUCAUGGCAGUUUGCCCAACCAAUCCACAUGUGUUUUGUGGAUUUGGAAAAGGCAUUCAACCUUAUCCCAGCAGAAAGUAAGACUUGUUCCUGGUACAUGCUGGACUCCGACAGGGCUGCCCUUUAUCACCGACCCCUGGCUGCGCCUAGAAAUCCUGUCCAUAAAAAUAAUGAACAGGAUUUUUUAGCGCAGCCAGGGGCUAGAGGGCCUGUUUUGGGGACCACGUGAUUUCAUCU